rnacentral:rRNA from 1 species
AUGCAACGUCAUUUGCAGAAAUUAAUUCCCCAAUGCUUCUCAUUGAUGAAUCCAGUACACCGAAAAAAAGAAUCAUUCUCUCAAGAGGGUUCUUUGUAUAAACCCCAGUGUGACGAGGAAUUGAAGCUAAAAGUAGGGAUGAUAUUUGAUGACAUUGGCUCGGUGCUGGAAUUUUACAAGUCAUAUGCACACAAUGUCGGAUUUGGUGUACGUCUUGGACAACAGAGGGUCGUAGAUAAUGUGCUUCAAUGGAAACGCUUCCUGUGUGCAAAAGAAGGCUUUCUCCCGAGAAAGGUAGAUCGAGCUGAUCAAGUGUAG